ACAUAUAUUUAUACCUAUUAUUGUAUUGGUCAUACUAUACAAUGAUUCAUAGCUUGUCUUUGUUGAAAACUACAGAACAUAAAGAGCAUUAAAAAAUAAUUGGAUUUAAAUCGCAAUAUUGGUAAAAAAAAUAAAUAAAUAAAGCGCAAUUAGAUUAUUUUCCAAAAUUCUUCAGGUCACGAUCACUUUAAAACAAUCAGUUAAAUAUAUUUUACCCGGAUCAGUCACAAAAACACUGUUUUGUAUGUUUUUUAAAGCCUUUUGUUUUUCAGGGACACAGGAAGUGACCUCAUAAACCAUGUUUACAUUGUAGUACCCAGAGCCAUAUAGAGUGAGAGUUGCGACAACUCCAUUGACUCCAAUGGAACGCUUUUUUUUACAGCAAUGGCGGCUCGUGGAGCCUCUCAAUAGUUCCCGGAAGUAGCGGCAAACCGAUGCCGCGCCGUAGAAGAUGCAGCAGAACAAACCGUUUGCGACGCACUUUUAACAGGUCUAGGGGUGCAUCGUGGAGCAGGGCCCUCCUCUUUUUGACCACAGGACGGUGUACAAAGAUUGUGGGAAUAGCAUCUGGUCUCAGCCUACUCUUGAAUUUUUUGGUCAUGACAAAUUGCAUUGCCGCAAUUUGUCUGCAUACUGACUUCAGUUUAGUUUCCACACACACCUUUUUUUUGUCUACCCACUUACAGUACAUAUCACAUGGUGGUUAAAUGCACAGUUAUAGGUAACACUGAUGACUCCCUGCAAUGUCUCACCAUGAGUCUCAGCUCCCUGGGUUUUGCAAGGCUUUGCUUGUUCCUUAUUUCUAGUAAAACAUUGUCAAUGUAAAAAAGUGCAAAUAAAUGUAAGUAUAAUUACCUAACAAUUUUUUGUUGUUGUAAUUUGUAUUUGUAUUUAGAUUGCUCCUGCUGACUUGAGCCAACCAUUAUUUUCUCCUCUCUAUGUCAGCGGGGAAGCCAUACAUUCGCACACCUUUCUCUGACUGAGUGGAGCAUCCCCAUGCAGCACAGUAAACCACGGUGGAGACUAUGCAAGGACAACAUGAAAGAAAGGACACAUACAAAAUGCUUGUCAUGCUAUUAAAUUUAUUAGAAAUGUAUUCAUGAAUUGCUGUAAAUAGUUAAUUGUAUAAUUACAAUUUAAAAUAACUGUUUUCUAUUUUAAAAUGGAAUAUACUCCUGUGAUGCCAACCUGAAUUUUCAGCAUCAUUUUGAAUGGCAGUGUACAUGUUUAUAUACGAGCAUGCUUAAGUUGUUUUAAACCUGAAUAUAUUGUGUACAUGAAUAAGUAUUGUAAGAAUUAUACUAGAUAUAAUAGGUAUAUUAUUUAUAAUACAUAAUUAUAUUACUAUAUGUAAUUGUAAGAAUUAUAAACAGUAAGCUUCAUUUUACAUUUAUUUAACAUGCUAAUUACUGCUGGUAACAGUUAAUUGACCCAUAGUGCGGUGCGAGCUGAAAAUCACCUGUUACCAGCCUGUCUCUGUACUACCUGAAAGUCAUCGAUAUGACAUGAGUUAACAUUAGAUCAGUGAAAAAAUGGACAAUAUGUAACGUAAAAAGGCAACAGCAACCCGUGUUUAUAAAACUUAACGUUAGCCUGAAAUACGUUUUUAAAAUAACGGUAAUUGAACACUAAUCCUCAAAUAUUACCCGAUUUGAUAUUUUAAAAACAACAUCGCUAACUACAUACUCCUGCUACAUACAUAUGUCAGUGUGUUGUAUAAACAUAUAAAAUAAAUGCAUUUAUUGACUCCUUAUUACCAGAAAUCGCCGUUCUGUCACUCUACUCUAUCAGUUUGAAUGGCCGCCAAUGCACUUCCUGGAACUAUUUGAAGUCUACACGAAUCACGUGACAACCAAACAUUUCGAACUUCCGUUGUCGCAACUCUCUCUCUAUAUGGCUCUGGUAGUACCCAAGACAUUAUACACAUUUGUGUCCUCAUAAACCAUACACAAACACAAACAAACCUCUGCAAACUGCUUCUCUCCUACAGCCAUGCCAGUCUCUCAGCACAGGAAAAACACUCAAAAGAGCUCUUUU
rnacentral:lncRNA from 1 species